UGGAGAAAUACUUCCUUAUUUCCGUUUUAUUGCUUUUGUAUUUUUAUCUCUUUCUUUAUUUGAUAAGUGACAUAAGAAGAGAUAUAAGAAGAAUGGAACAAUGAAACAAUGAAACGGAGCAGGUCCAGGUAGGCCACCAUAUAUACAAAGUGGGGCUUGGAUCGACAAGAGAUAUAUCAAUCAAUCAAGACUUCGGAAGUUUCGGCCACUGAGAAUGAAUGACUAUGGACCAUGGAAGGAAAGGGGAAACCUCGGCUGUCGGCUCUGCUUCAAUUGAAUCUUAUUUCUUCCUGUACUGAGAGAAUGUGAAUCUUUAAAGUUGCAGACCACAUUCAUGCUAAUCAUAUUCAUUAAAGAAUAUAGCACGCACUUUUUUCUU